GGAGCCGUGGCACUGUCAAGUCAUCAGACGCGGUGAUUGCGAGGCCUGUGGGAAAGUACAAAAGCCUGGGCUAGAUUACCCCUCUCAUCGAGCCCGCCUGUGUGGCACCUGUUUCUUAUCACCCCACUAAGUUCCCGCCUCACAGGGUAGUCUGCCUAGCUAUUAAUCCUAUAUAUAGCCAGUGCCUCCACCCCCGAGAGAGAGAGAGACUGAAGCACAAAAGGAGCCGCGGGGAGCGGACCGGUAGAGGCUUCGGGGCAGACUGAAGCACGGAAGGAGCCGCGGAGAGCGGACCGGUAGAGGCUUCGGGGCAGACUGUAUAAGGAGAGAAUAAAGAAAAGCCUGACCACCGCCAGACCUUGUCGUGUGUCUUUCCUGCCGGCCGGGAGCGGACAUCGACAUUUGGAGGCCCGCACGGGGAUUGAUCAACCCCGAGACGCGGCGGUGGACUGCAUUCUCCUACACAGUGCUGCAGCUGCAGGACAGGAAUCGGGACGAGAGCCAAUGUGGGUCCCAGAGAGGUUGACGCGACAAGUCCCUCGACUGAAGAUCAGGCCUGUUCCACCAGAGGCCAACCGCAGACCCAACAACAAGAUGAGCCCUAAAAGAACUGCAGGACAAUCCCUUUUUGGGGGCCUGGAACGGCUUGCUCCCCUAUGUGCUACCCUUGUAUAUGCAUGGCUCGCUCGCAUGGCCUACGACCGCGUUUAAAAGUGACAGGCUUCCCACAUUCUCCUCCCUAGACAACAACAUGUAGCAGGGUGGGUGAGUCAAUGACGGGUAAGAGCGUGCCUCCCCAGCACGACUCAACCUAAGCCAGGCCCUACCCCGUUCCGCUCGAAAGCCGCUGGAUUGUUAGAUAAAUUUCUCUCCGAGGGGAUUCGUGGAGAGAAAUGAGUGCAUGCCUAUGUGCAACCAGGUUCCGUCCGGUUCAUUCCUGGCCCUAGAAAAAAGGACGAGGGCCUCAGGGCCUUGGUGGACCCUGGGACGGCCGACCAGGGUCUACGCUAAGGGCCUACGGUGGGCCUCAGUUCGGGGCAUAGGCCUCUGCACUCUAUCCAGGACGGGCUGCGAUGCGCGUAGCCAUCAUUUAAAAUAAAAUAGGGGGAGAUGUUGGGAGCCGUGGCACUGUCAAGUCAUCAGACGCGGUGAUUGCGAGGCCUGUGGGAAAGUACAAAAGCCUGGGCUAGAUUACCCCUCUCAUCGAGCCCGCCUGUGUGGCACCUGUUUCUUAUCACCCCACUAAGUUCCCGCCUCACAGGGUAGUCUGCCUAGCUAUUAAUCCUAUAUAUAGCCAGUGCCUCCACCCCCGAGAGAGAGAGAGACUGAAGCACAAAAGGAGCCGCGGGGAGCGGACCGGUAGAGGCUUCGGGGCAGACUGAAGCACGGAAGGAGCCGCGGAGAGCGGACCGGUAGAGGCUUCGGGGCAGACUGUAUAAGGAGAGAAUAAAGAAAAGCCUGACCACCGCCA